rnacentral:rRNA from 1 species
UACGUAGGGGGCAAGCGUUGUCCGGAUUUAUUGGGCGUAAAGAGCGUGUAGGCGGCUUGGUAGGUCCGCUGUGAAAACUCGAGGCUCAACCUCGAGAUGUCGGCGGAAACCACUUGGCUAGAGUCCGGAAGAGGAGAGUGGAAUUCCUGGUGUAGCGGUGAAAUGCGCAGAUAUCAGGAAGAACACCUAUGGCGAAGGCAGUCCCCUGGGCCUGUACUGACGCUCAUGCACGAAAGCGUGGGGAGCAAACAGG